GAUGAACGCUGGCGGCGUGCUUAACACAUGCAAGUCGAACGAAGCAUUUAUGAUAGAUUGCUUAGGCUUGAAGCCUUUUAUGACUGAGUGGCGGACGGGUGAGUAACGCGCGGGUAACCUGCCUAAUACAGGGGGAUAGCAGCUGGAAACGGCUGGAAAUACCGCAUAAGCGCACAGUACCACAUGGUACAGUGUGAAAACCUCCGGUGGGAUGAGAUGGAUCCGCGUCUGAUUAGCUUGUUGGCGGAGGAACGGUCCACGAAGGCGACGAUCAGUAGCCCACCUGGGAGCGGGGCCAGCCACAAUAGUACUAAGACACGGCGCAGACACCUACAGGAGGCAGCAGUGGAGAACAUUGCACAGUGGAGUAAACUCAGAUGCGUCGAUGCCGUGUAAGUUAAGAAGUAUUUCUCUAUGAAUAGCACUAGCAACAUGUGGGAUAGUGACGGUACCGUACUAAUAAGCUCCGGCUAAAUACGUG
rnacentral:rRNA from 1 species